CUCCAAAUUUCAUAUAAGAGUAGUAAAAAAUCUUCCUAUGUUGUCAUGUUGCCAGAUCGAUGUUUAAAAAAACAAAACAAACCCUCUUCAGUGCUUUUCAAAUUCUCUCCAAUUUUUCAAAAAUUACGCAAUAUAUAAAAAGUACUCUUCUACUAGGUAUGCAAAACCACUAUUAAUGUAUCCUCAGGCUGAGCCCAGAGGGUCCAUUUUGGACACCAGUUCCCCUCAGGACCAGCCCAAAACAUUGACUUUGGACUCCAGCUCUCCUCAGGCCUUGUCCACAGCAGUCACUCUAAAUUUCAGCUCACUUGAGAACCAACCAGCCCAGAGAACACCAAUUUUGGACUUCAGUUUUCCUCGGACCUGCCCACAGCGGCCAUUUUGGAUUCCAUUUUCCCUCAGCCCUGCCUGCCCAGGGCGGCCAUUUUAAUCUAUCGCUGACUGAACAGAAGAUGUCUUUCAAGGUCUGAGGGAUUGUCCGUCUAUGAAGGCAGUCCAGGUCGGUGUCUCUAAUCUGCACCCAGAGAGGAAGGGCAGGCUGGCACGCGAGAGCGCUUAACUCCCCGUCCUGCUGGCCAGACGUUUAAGUCACAAGGGCCCGGCUGUGGCGACAGGCAGAGGCGUACGGCCAGGACGGUGCUACCGAAGCCCAGAUAGCGUGUGGCAUCGGCGAGUGCGAGGAAAGGGGACCCCUGUCCCAGCUUGCGUCUCUUUAGUUGUGCCCCCCCCCCCAGCAGAAGGAAAAUAAAAGAAACCAGAAGAAGGGCUGCAAGGCUGUGCCCCUUUCUCUGGUGAAAGGGACUAAAGCGACGCUAGGCGCCCUGUGGAGGCGCUGAUUAAUGGCCCCCCGCCUACCUCCCGGACAGGCCCAUCCAUCUCCGCCGCCCUUUGACCCGCGCGGCCGCUCGCCCGGGGNGAGCAGGAGCAGCAGGAGGAGAGCCGGGACGGAGCGGGGGCGGGGGCGCUUUGUCUUCUUGCUGCCGGAUGAGGGGAGCCUCCUCUUCGCCCUCGUCCGUUCUCCCUGACGUGGCUUGCUCGACUUUCGUUUUGGCUCCUUGCGACGGAGGUCUUUGCAGCAGGUGGCAGCGAAGANCAGCGGGAGGGAGGGGGCGCCGUGGAUGGAUGCCCCUUCAGGAGCCCCUCUGCGGCAUGCAACCAUUGCGUCCGCUGCCGGCCGGGGAGUGGGCCUUGGGGCCAGCCAGGCGGAUCUGAAGGCCCUAGUGGGGGCGGUGGGCAUCUGUCUGGUUGCUGGCCGUCAACACCCCUGCCCCCCCCAAAAGUCAUGAACCUUAGCUGUGGAAGAACCACGGCGGGGCUAGUUUGUGGCAGCCUCCCCCCCUCUGCCCCCCCCCCGUACCUGCACCAGAACCGUCAGGACAGAGCAAGAGCGCCUGCCCCCCGUCAGUUGCCCUCCAGGUUCUGGGCAGCCCCACCACAAGCAGCUGCAAAGGAUGUAUCUUGGAAGGUUCUUCAGAGUGGCACAGCACAAAGCAUUCCUCUGAGGAGGUAAGGAAAAAUAACAAAAUGAUUUCAGCAUGCUGGGAGCAGGAAUGAGCUAUUCCUUGCCAGUUUUGGCUUUCUGAGUCCUAGUGAUCAUGGGGAACCCUCAUCUUUGAUGGGUGUCUUAUUCUGGAGGUUCCAGCUUGAAUGAAGCAAAAGAAGAUUGAAGCUAAAAAAAUGGGGUAGUGUGAGCUGAUGUUCAGUUUGGGGGUGAA
rnacentral:lncRNA from 1 species